AAUUAAAACUUUUAACAACGGAUCUCUUGGUUCUGGCAUCGAUGAAGAACGCAGCGAAAUGCGAUAAGUAAUGUGAAUUGCAGAAUUCAGUGAAUCAUCGAAUCUUUGAACGCACAUUGCGCCCCCUGGUAUUCCGGGGGGCAUGCCUGUUCGAGCGUCAUUUCACCACUCAAGCCUCGCUUGGUAUUGGGCAACGCGGUCCGCCGCGUGCCUCAAAUCGACCGGCUGGGUCUUCUGUCCCCUAAGCGUUGUGGAAACUAUUCGCUAAAGGGUGUUCGGGAGGCUACGCCGUAAAACAACCCCAUUUCUAAGGUUGACCUCGGAUCAGGUAGGGAUACCCGCUGAACUUAAGCAUAUCAAUAAGCGGAGGAA
rnacentral:rRNA from 1 species